UACAGAGGUCUCAAGCGUUGUUCGGAUUCAUUGGGCGUAAAGGGUGCGUAGGUGGCGGGGUAAGUCGGGUGUGAAAUCUCGGAGCUUAACUCCGAAACUGCAUUCGAUACUGCCGUGCUUGAGGACUGGAGAGGAGACUGGAAUUUACGGUGUAGCGGUGAAAUGCGUAGAUAUCGUAAGGAAGACCAGUGGCGAAGGCGGGUCUCUGGACAGUUCCUGACGCUGAGGCACGAAGGUCAGGGGAGCAAACGGG
rnacentral:rRNA from 1 species